rnacentral:rRNA from 1 species
AUCCGUCACACUAUCAUUACGUGAAUACAUAGCGUAAUGAAGCGAACCGGGGGAACUGAAACAUCUAAGUACCCCGAGGAAAAGAAAUCAACCGAGAUUCCCCCAGUAGCGGCGAGCGAACGGGGAGCAGCCCAGAGUCUGAAUCAGCUUGUGUGUUAGUGGAACGGUCUGGAAAGUCCGACGGUACAGGGUGAUAGUCCCGUACACCAAAAUGCACAGGUUGUGAACUCGAA